UCUCCGUUGGUGAACCAGCGGAGGGAUCAUUAUCGAGUUUAUAACUCCCAAACCCUAUGUGAACCUACCACUUGUUGCUUCGGCGCGCGCUUCGGCGCCGCCGAGGACACUUAAACUCUUUGUUUUUAUAAGCAUUUCUGAGUGGCCGAAAGGCAAAAUACAAAUGAAUCAAAACUUUCAACAACGGAUCUCUUGGUUCUG
rnacentral:misc_RNA from 1 species